rnacentral:snoRNA from 1 species
CUCCGAGAAUGAUGAUCAUAAUCUUUGGUCCGUGUUUAUGACGGGAAGUAAGACCCCCGAUAUGAGUGACAAAGAAGAAGUAUUUCAUUAUACAACACUGACACUUGGAG